CCCUUAGAUGUCCUGGGCCGCACGCGCGCUACACUGAUGCAUGCAACGAGUUUAUAACCUUGGCCUGAAAGGUCUGGGUAAUCUUUUGAACGUGCAUCGUGAUAGGGAUAGAUUAUUGCAAUUGUUAAUCUUGAACGAGGAAUUCCUAGUAAACGCGAGUCAACAGCUCGCAUUGAUUACGUCCCUGCCCUUUGUACACACCGCCCGUCGCACCUACCGAUUGAAUGGUUCGGUGAAGAUCUCGGACUUCGAUAUUUAUUCUUUAUUGAGUUUAUAUUGUGGGAAGUUAUCUAAACCUCAUCAUUUAGAGGAAGGUGAAGUCGUAACA
rnacentral:rRNA from 1 species